CCUUUCCGCCUCUGCUGCAGGUGUGGCCAGCGCUAGCUCAAGCCGUGAGCAUCUGAUGCGGUCAACAGGCAGUUUCUUAGGCUGAGGUGAACUGGAAGACACACGAAGCACGCGUUGGAGGAGAAGGGUGUGUGGCAUCCACAGGAGGGACAGGAAACUGAGGCCUGGACGAGAUGGAAGAAUUUGAAGAGAAACCUGACACCAGAUUACCUGUCUUUACAUGCCAGUAGUCUCUCAGUGGCAGCUCA